rnacentral:lncRNA from 1 species
UAACAAAUGUUGGCAACAAUAGCAACUCAACAUUUACGAUAGCAGGUAUCAACACUAACAACUGUUGAUGCUCAAAUCAGUAAAAAUAAAAUGCUCUACAAAGAUUAAUAGAUUAAAAAUAUACAUAUCACAUAUGACGAUAGAUCAACAAUUACAUUGAGAACUGAACAACGAAAUUUAAAAAUCUUCAGCUCUUGAACAAUAGCCCUGUCCUCAUAUACUUGAUCCUCAACUUGCUUUAUAAAGCGAUACUUUAAAUCAUAACAACCCACAGAAGGAUAUGAUGACAUUUUUAACUUGUAUAUUUUUUCAACUCUGAUGUAAAAGAAGGAUAUAAUGGUAGUAAAACGUGAUGAAAAGCUUCUGCACUGUUUUUGAAUUCUGAAGUGCAGAAAGACAUCACCUACAGGUUUCUGGACACUUGGUCUCUCAUAAAUAGACCAAGAUGCAGUCCAUCAAAACACCUCUUCAGCUCUUGAACAGUAGCCCAAUCCUCAUAUACUUGAUCCUCAACUUGCUUGAUAAACCGAUACUUUAAAUCAUAAGAACCUACAGAAAGGUAUGAUAACAUUUUUAACCGUUGAAUGUAGAGCCAAAUUCAUAUAUGUUAUUUAACUUGUCUAUUUCUUCAAGUCUCAUGUAAAAGAAGAAUAUAAUAAUCGUAGUAAAAAGUUAAAUAUCACUAAACCGAAAGAACAAAAAUAAAAAUAAAAAAACAGGUUCUCAUAAUUACCAUUAACUUCUUCAUUUAUCAUAAAGAAGUACUCCACUUUCUGCACUUUAGACUUCAAAAACAGUGCAGAAGAACUCCCCUCUGCUCGCUCGAAAAAAAAAGCUGAAAUAUAUCAACACCUUAAAAUAAAUAUUAUCAACAUAUAUCAACAGUUUAAAAGAAUCCACAAACCUAAAAUAACCCGCAACUGAUUGUUUGAAUUUUAAACAACUCUGAUUAGGCUGAAAUAUAAACAGAGAAUUAGAACAGAUCACUUCAAAUUUUAAGAUUCAAAAUCAGAGAAAAAAACAUACCCUCAACGAUGUUGCAACAAUGAUGUUGCAAAAAUUUCGUGAAGUACAAAAAGCUGUAAUCGCAUAUGAACCUCUGCUCACAUGUAAAGCCGAGGUCAAAGGUGAGUGUGUGAAACAGAGCUUCAAUGAAACAACGUUGUUGGAACAAUGAUAUUGGAACAAAGAACUGUAUAUGAAGAUUAAUCGGCUCAAUCAUGAGAGCUAUGCAUUUGAGUAAGAGAGAUAUGAUCGCAAAUAUGUUAUUUAUAGGGAGGCAGAUUCAUAUGUAGUUUGAAUUUUGAAUUUGGAGCCAGGAUUUUGAUUUAAAAUUUGAAUAUGGGCAGAGGUUUGAAGUGGGUGAGUGACAUGCAUUAAUUGAAAAUUACAUAUCCCCAUGCAUUUUGAAUUUCAAAUUACCCGCAAUUUCAAAACAUCUGCUGCUAGAUAUACGUUUGCCAAAGGAACCAUCUGCUACUUUCUUGUAGAUGGGCAGUGGUUUGCCCUUUGAUUACACAAGGCAGUGCCUUGUUGGACAUGUUCUCCUGCUCACACAUCAACUUUUCUUAUGUCAUUGAGAUUUCUCCUUUUAUAGAAAGUAUAGAUAGAUUAUAGAUUAUAGACUUUUCUUUAAUUAAUACAUGGAAACAUACACAUAUGCAUAUGUAUUUGUUUUCAUUUAUGCUCGCCAGUAUGUUCGUUCGUUUACAUUUUUGAAUUGUUCAUGUAGAAUAUUAACGGACAUGAAUGGACAUGAACAAACACGAUCGCGUUAAUUUUCUAAAUGAACGAGCAUGAACAUAUUAGUUAACUAUUUUUAUUAAUUAACAAAUGAUACAAAAAAGGUUUCAAAAUAUGUAAAAAACUUUAUAGAAUAUUAUUAAAACAAUAACUUUAAAAAUUAUAACAAUUAAAAAAAACUAUUUUCUAUUUUUUUGAACGGCCAACGAAUCCUCCAAAUGGGCUACUGCGAAAAUUAACCACAUCGGGAUACACUCUCCUCCGAAUCGGAGAAAACCCUCACCUAGGGCAGAAGCCUGUGAACACUCGCCUGAAGACACGACAAUGCGGUGAGGUAAAACCCGUUCAGUUCAAGGAUCGAACUAGUAAUUGCCGCCUACUCGCCUAGUCUCCCUUCAUCACCAGGUGCCACUGAAAACUAAUGGGGAGAAGCAGGAAAUGAACCUGGGUCUCUUGGAAACCCAAGUAUCUCCCUUACCACUCCACCACAAGCUCACUGACAAAA